UACGAAGGGGGCUAGCGUUGUUCGGAAUCACUGGGCGUAAAGCGCACGUAGGCGGACUUUCAAGUCAGGGGUGAAAUCCCGGGGCUCAACCUCGGAAUUGCCUUUGAUACUGUAAGUCUCGAGUCCGGAAGAGGUGGGUGGAAUUCCUAGUGUAGAGGUGAAAUUCGUAGAUAUUAGGAAGAACACCAGUGGCGAAGGCGGCUCACUGGACCGGUAUUGACGCUGAGGUGCGAAAGCGUGGGGAGCAAACAGG
rnacentral:rRNA from 1 species